GGGUUUUGUGGAAGGCGAAAGCUGAUGGACAGACUCACAGCAUUCCUGCGCACCUGCUGGAUCCAGAUGCUGAUCUCUAGAUCAGGUACAAGACGCAGAGCCCGCCUGCCUCCGCAGUCUGGAAAUUACCAAGGUCGCUUCCCUGCUCCCUGAAUUUCCCUCCUGAGCCACAGUCAUCUUACCUGAAAAGCCAAUUCUGUAUCGCAGAGCUUCCUGAUCUGGCGCUCUUUAAGGAAACCUGAGGAUCGCCAUUCCUCUUUUGUGCAGCGCGCACAAAGGACGGAGUCCUGUGCACACCAGUAGCUUCUCCUGUCUGACCUUCUUCAGAGGAUCAUUUCAGAGAGUGUGUCUCUGUGACACACAUCUGCUUCCUUUUAUUUCUGGAGACCCUAAUUAUAGACGUUAAAUUUGCUAGCUGGGUGUGGCAGCUCAUGCUUGUAAAUCCAGGCUCAAGCAGAAGCACCAGUAGGAAAGGCAGGGCGAGUUUGUUUGUUUGCUUGCUUGCUUUGCUUUGCUUUGCUUUGCUUUGCUUUGCUUUGCUUUGCUUUGCUUUGCUUUGCUUUGCUUUGCUUUGCUUUGCUUUGCUUUGCUCCUCAGGUAAAUUGUAUAUCUGCCACAGCAGCUCUUCUUGUAUUUUUUUUUCCUUGCAUGAUUCUUGUGACACCUCAUAAUUGUCAGGGACAGGAAUAGUCUGCCCACUCCUAACCCCUGACAUAUGAGAUACAGGACCAAGAGUCAACAGAUGUGACCAACUUUCUUCAUGCAGCCACAAUGACGAAAAUAAAAAGGAGCUACGUCUACAGGUGACACUUACUGCAUUGCCAUUUAGGCAUUUUAAUAUGUGUUGUUUGAAUAUUUUACAUAAUUUUAAAAUCGUUGGUGUUACUUUAGGGUUUUGCAACAGGAUUCUAUGGAAUCCAGGCUGGCCUCCAACUUAAUGGCCUUGAACUGCUUGCUGAUCCUCCUGUCUCUGAUGGAGUAGGGGGAGAUGGACAGAGGCCUCUUUGUAUUGUAGAACGGAGUCUGCACCUGCAUGUUAUUACUAGCCUCUAUGCACUGUUCCAUGUUCACUCUCCGGCCCAGGUGGCACCUGGAGGAGUGGGUGUUAACAACAGACACUAACUACACUCAGCAUUCUGAGGAGCGCUUGAGCCCAGGAUUCCAGAGAAUGAGGGAAAUAUGCACGGGAUUAUAACAACGAAGACUCGAAGACUCGGGCAAUCACAAGUCUCAACACUUUGGUGAUCACCAAACAACGAGGUAUAUUUUAUCUAACUUAGAAUAAUCAAGAACAGGGCUGGAGAGAUGGCUCUUGCUAUGAGUUCAAUCCUUGGGAACCACCCAACACCCAGGGCUGUCUUCUGAUUUCCACAUGUAUGCCAUGGUACACACAUAUGAGUAAAUAAAUGUAAAAAAAAAUGAA
rnacentral:lncRNA from 1 species